rnacentral:rRNA from 1 species
AGUGAACGCUGGCGGUAGGCCUAACACAUGCAAGUCGAACGGCAGCACAGUAAGAGCUUGCUCUUACGGGUGGCGAGUGGCGGACGGGUGAGGAAUACAUCGGAAGCUACUUUUUCGUGGGGGAUAACGUAGGGAAACUUACGCUAAUACCGCAUACGACCUACGGGUGAAAGCAGGGGAUCUUCGGACCUUGCGCGAUUGCAUGGACCGAUGUCGGAUUAGCUAGUUGGCGGGGUAAAGGCCCACCAAGGCGACGAUCCGUAGCUGGUCUGAGCGGAUGAUCAGCCACACUGGAACUGAGACACGGUCCAGACUCCUACGGGAGGCAGCAGUGGGGAAUAUUGGACAAUGGGCGCAAGCCUGAUCCAGCCAUACCGCGUGGGUGAAGAAGGCCUUCGGGUUGUAAAGCCCUUUUGUUGGGAAAGAAAAGCAGCAGGUUAAUACCCCGCUGUUCUGACGGUACCCAAAGAAUAAGCACCGGCUAACUUCGUG